rnacentral:rRNA from 1 species
AGAGUUUGAUCAUGGCUCAGGACGAACGCUGGCGGCGUGCUUAACACAUGCAAGUCGAACGCUGAAACUAGAUGCUUGCAUUUGGUGGAUGAGUGGCGAACGGGUGAGUAACACGUGGGUGAUCUGCCCUACACUUUGGGAUAAGCCUGGGAAACUGGGUCUAAUACCGAAUAUUCACACCACCGUAGGGGUGGUGUGGAAAGCCUUGUGCGGUGUGGGAUGAGCCUGCGGCCUAUCAGCUUGUUGGUGGGGUAAUGGCCUACCAAGGCGUCGACGGGUAGCCGGCCUGAGAGGGUGUACGGCCACAUUGGGACUGAGACACGGCCCAGACUCCUACGGGAGGCAGCAGUGGGGAAUAUUGCACAAUGGGCGCAAGCCUGAUGCAGCGACGCCGCGUGGGGGAUGAAGGCCUUCGGGUUGUAAACUCCUUUCGCUAGGGACGAAGCCUCUUUGAGGUGACGGUACCUGGAGAAGAAGCACCGGCUAACUACGUGCCAGCAGCCGCGGUAAUACGUAGGGUGCGAGCGUUGUCCGGAAUUACUGGGCGUAAAGAGCUCGUAGGUGGUUUGUCGCGUCGUCUGUGAAAUCCCGGGGCUUAACUUCGGGCGUGCAGGCGAUACGGGCAUAACUUGAGUGCUGUAGGGGAGACUGGAAUUCCUGGUGUAGCGGUGAAAUGCGCAGAUAUCAGGAGGAACACCAAUGGCGAAGGCAGGUCUCUGGGCAGUAACUGACGCUGAGGAGCGAAAGCAUGGGUAGCGAACAGGAUUAGAUACCCUGGUAGUCCAUGCCGUAAACGGUGGGCGCUAGGUGUAGGGGUCU